AACAAACGCUGGCGGCGUGCCUAAUACAUGCAAGUCGAACGGGGAAAGUAGCAAUAUGAGUACUAGUGGCGCACGGGUGAGUAACGCGUGGAUAAUCUGCCUUGAAGCGGGGGAUAACUAGUCGAAAGAUUAGCUCAUACCGCAUAAGACCACAAGAACUGAGGUUCAAGGGGUCAAAGGUUUUUCGCUUCAAGAUGAGUCCGCGUAAGAUUAGCUAGUUGGUGAGGUAAUGGCUCACCAAGGCAACGAUCUUUAACUGGUCUGAGAGGAUGAUCAGUCACACUGGAACUGAGACACGGUCCAGACUCCUACGGGAGGCAGCAGUAGGGAAUAUUGCACAAUGGAGGAAACUCUGAUGCAGCGACGCCGCGUGAGUGAUGAAGGCCUUCGGGUCGUAAAGCUCUGUCGCAGGGGAAUAACACAAUGAAUGUACCCUGUAAGAAAGGAUCGGCUAACUUCGUG
rnacentral:rRNA from 1 species